ACACGACUACAUUAGAUACCCCUGUAGUCCAGGGUGUAAACGCUGCGGGCUUGGUGUUGGGGGUCCUUUGUGGGCGCCCAGUGCCGGAGAGAAGUUGUUAAGCCUGCUGCUUGGGGAGUACGUCCGCAAGGAUGAAACUUAAAGGAAUUGGCGGGGGAGCACCGCAACGGGAGGAGCGUGCGGUUCAAUUGGAUUCAACGCCGGACAACUCACCAGGAGCGACGGUUACAUGAAGGCCAGGCUGAUGACCUUGCCUGAUUUUCCG
rnacentral:rRNA from 1 species